UGGUUUCCGUUAAUCAAGAACGAAAGUCAGAGGCUCGAAGGCGAUCAGAUACCGCCCUAGUUCUGACCGUAAACGAUGCCAGCCAGCGAUCCGGCUGCGUUCCUCAAACGACGCGCCGGGCAGCUUCCGGGAAACCAAAGCUCUUGGGCUCCGGGGGAAGUAUGGUUGCAAAGCUCAAACUUGAAGGAAUUGGCGGAAGGGCACCACCAGCCUUGGGGCCUGCGGCUUAAUUUGACUCAACACGGGACAACUCACCCGGCCCGGACACGAGAAGGAUUGACAGAUUGAGAGCUCUUUCUUGAUUACGUGGGUGGUGGUGCAUGGCCGCUCUUAGUUGGUGGAGCGAUUUGUCUGCUUGAUUGCGAUAACGAACGAGAUUCUAGCCUUCUAAAUAGACGUCCCGGCUGACCUCCGCCGGGCGACCCCAAUUUCUUCUUAGAGGGACAGCCGGCUUCAAGCCGGACGAAACGGAGCAAUAGCAGGUCUGUAAUGCCCUUCGAUGUCCGGGGCCGCACGCGCGCCACAAUGAAGGAGCCAGCGCGCGCUCUCCCCCGCCCGAGAGGGCGGGGCAACCGUUCAGACUUCUUUCGUGCUGGGGACAGGGGAUUGCAAUUGUUCCCCUCGAACGAGGAAAGCCCAGUAAGCGCGAGUCAUCAGCUCGCGUUGAUUAAGUCCCCUGCCCUUUGCCCACACCGCCCGUCGCUUGUUUCCGAUUGAAUGAUCGGGUGAGGUCUUCGGACCGACCCACGGACCGGCCUCCGGGCCGGGCCGUCGUGCCGGAAAGACGAUCGAACUGGACCCUUUAGAGGAAGCAAAAGUCGUAACAAGGUUACC
rnacentral:rRNA from 1 species